rnacentral:lncRNA from 1 species
UUAUUACUUAGUUUUUUCUUGAAUUCUGAAGUUAUUAUAAUUGUUAAAAAAAUGGGUAUUGGAUUUAAUUUAUUUUUCGUUCAUAUCUGUGCAUUUAUGUUCAUAUAUUUAUAUUAUGUUUUUAUACUUAUAUUCCAUUUUUAUAUUGUUCUAAACAGCUAUAUAUAUCAAUUGUACUUUCUCCUUAUCAUUGAAUAAGAAAUACCAUUUUCAUCCUUUCUUUUCUCAUAACAUGGUAUCAUGAGAAAAUUAAUUCUUCAUCACGUUCUUCCGCAACCAAUUAUGUUUCUUCUCAGAUCUUCAUCUUCUACCUUUUGUUCUUGGCUUUCCUGCCUUUUUCUUCUCCUUCUAUGGCUUCUCCCUUUGUUACUCUUGCAUCGUGGUAUUAGGUGGACAAGGAAUGGAACCAUCAACAAAAGCCAAAAUUUAUUCUUCAUUUGUAGUGACCAAUUGGAAGUCUUACAUCAACC